UGUUCUCAGAAAGUACACCAUUUUAAAAUAACAUGGCUACAAUUGGCAGCUACUUGGUGGGUGGAAGCAUCAAAGAAUGUCGUCUGUUUUUAAGGGUGGCAAAGGCGUCUAUCACUCUAUUGUGAUUUAGGUGCUGAAGCUCCUCUUUUUCAAUUGACAUGACUGCAAGACUGUGAAUGCCAUGACUUUCACUCACAACACAAUAAUUGUUUACUCCCAAAUAUUUUGAAGUCACACAGAAUAUAUUUUGGGCACAUAUGUGACUAAAAUGGUUGUAAUUUUAAGCCCUGAAAAAAUAUAACUUAAUUACAUAAAUUACAGUUAUAUUAAGGUACUCUUGAAAAUAUUUGGGCCAGGCUAAUUUGGCUUAUACAUCACUCUCUUGUAGGGAUGCACGAUAUAUCGGCAUUAAUAUUGGUAUCGGCCGAUGUUCGUCAUUUUUUAACAUAUCGGCAUCGGUCCAAUGAGUAAAACUGCGCCGAUUUUAACAACCGAUGUUAAUACCCGUCUAUUUGCUGUUUGUGUAUGUGUGUCGGGAAGGGGAGGCCAUGCUGCAUUUCUUUGAACAUGUUACAGUGACGCAAGUGCAGCACAAGGUGUGUGUGUGUGUGUGUGUGUGUGUGUGUGUGUGUUGAGGAGAGAUAAUGUCAGCGGUGUGGGCGUUUUUUCAGGGUGUCGAUAGAAGAUACGCGAAAAGCAUUAUGCAACACUUGCAAAGUUGAGAUAGGCCUGCAGUCAUAGGCCUAAUGACGCCACUGACUCUCCUAAAUAAAAGCUCAAGUUAAAUAAG